GUUAAAAUAAUUUAAUUAAAAUAUCGAUUUUGUAAAUCGAAAUUGGAACUCCUUUUAAC
rnacentral:tRNA from 1 species